GACGAACGCUGGCGGCGUGCUUAACACAUGCAAGUCGAACGGAGUGCUCAUGACAGAGGUUUCGGCCAAUAGAUUGAGUUACUUAGUGGCGGACUGGUGAGUAACGCGUGAGGAACCUGCCUUUCAGAGGGGGACAACAGUUGGAAACGACUGCUAAUACCGCAUGACACAUCAAGGGGGGCAUCCCUUUGAUGUCAAAGAUUUAUCGCUGAAAGAUGGCCUCGCGUCUGAUUAGAUAGUUGGCGGGGGUAACGGCCCACCAAGUCGACGAUCAGUAGCCGGACUGAGAGGUUGACCGGCCACAUUGGGACUGAGAUACGGCCCAGACUCCUACGGGAGGCAGCAGUGGGGAAUACUGGGCAAUGGACGCAAGUCUGACCCAGCAACGCCGCGUGAAGGAAGAAGGCUUUCGGGUUGUAAACUUCUUUUAAGGGGGAAGAGCAGAAGACGGUACCCCUUGAAUAAGCCACGGCUAACUACGUG
rnacentral:rRNA from 1 species